GACGAACGCUGGCGGCGUGCUUAACACAUGCAAGUCGAACGGUAAGGCCCUUCGGGGUACACGAGUGGCGAACGGGUGAGUAAUACGUGGGUGAUCUGCCCUGCACUUCGGGAUAAGCCUGGGAAACUGGGUCUAAUACCGGAUAGGACUCCUGGCUUCAUGGUUGGGGGUGGAAAGCUUUUGCGGUGUGGGAUGGGCCCGCGGCCUAUCAGCUUGUUGGUGGGGUAAUGGCCUACCAAGGCGACGACGGGUAGCCGGCCUGGGAGGGUGACCGGUCACACUGGGACUGAGAUACGGCCCAGGCUCCUACGGGAGGCAGCAGUGGGGAAUAUUGCACAAUGGGCGCAAGCCUGAUGCAGCGACGCCGCGUGAGGGAUGACGGCCUUCGGGUUGUAAACCUCUUUCAGCUAUGACGAAGCGCAAGUGACGGUAGUAGCAGAAGAAGGACCGGCCAACUACGUGCCAGCCGCCGCCGUAA
rnacentral:rRNA from 1 species